rnacentral:tRNA from 1 species
UCCUUGGUGGUCUGAUGGUUAAGACUCUGCACCCCCAAUGCAGGGGGCCAGGUUCAAUCCCUCAUCAGGGAG